GUUCGAAGUCCCUGCGUAACCACAUUUACAAAGCUGAAUAUGCGCGGCUUAGGCCCAGUGAAGUGAACAAAUAAUACGGGACAACUUUUCUGACAAUAAGUAACUGCUCUUCCGGUCGGUUGAAUGUGACGUGAAUACUCUCAUAAACACUUGUCGCAGGGGUUGCGGCUUGACGGUCAUGUAAAUAAAUAUGGCUGCCAGUCGAUGCUCGGUUCUGGCAGAGCGUCGAGUAGUUCGCGCGUAUCGGUGCCUCGUUUUCUCCGAUUAUUAAGGAAAAACGAUGACGACUGUGACGUUACAAGUUCCAAAAUUGAAGUUGAAGUCGGAGUUGACGUGUUGGUGCAGUGAAAAGUGAAAAGGCAAGUGUUACGUGAGAAUUGAGUGAAUUCAAGAAACGGUGUCCCAAAUUGCGUGCCAGGAUGAUGUUGCUGUUCCGUUCCGCUGCAAUGGAGAUAACAACGAGAUGUAGGAAGUAACGGAGAGCAGGGAAUCUGCAUGCAUCCGUCGAAUGAAUCGGGCCAUCAAUUACGACAGCGGUUACACAUCUUCCUCAACUGUAUCUGGUCACCCGCUAAGAGGAAUCUAGGAAGUCGGGAUGAGCGGAUAUUCAAUUAGCCGGCACUCCAUUUGAAAAAAACCACGACGGAAAACUCCGAUCAUUCCAACCCGCAUCCUCAAUCUCACGGAGCGGUUUGAACUAUGGUCAAAGAAUUCUCGGCAGCGGGGUUAAAGAGUCGGAUAUCCUCUUCAUCCUUUGAUUCGUCUGGUGUAAAGCGGGAAGCCGAAUGAUUCGCUCCCCAUUCGAAACACGAUUCAACCCAAUUACCGGCCGUGGAACCGGCGUGAUUAAAUUCAUGUUUCAGAGACAAAGCUGGAUGCUAAACAAAGCUUCUAUUCUAGUUAUUCUACUUACGCUGAUUUUCAUCCAUAUAUUUGUAACAUAAAAGCCACCAUUACUCAGAUGCAACAUCGUUUGCUUACGGUUUGUUGACGUGCAGUAGUUCUGCAGUUUCGAUAAUUAAUUCGCCACUGCAAUGCCGGAACGCUUACAAAGAUUGCAGGACAUCUUACGUGAGUGCCUGUAUCGGUUUUAUUUCAGCACUAAUUCUCCUAUCGUUAAAGACGUCUGAAAUAUCAUUAGGAAGAAAGUAAUGACAACUCGAAUUGAUGACAUUGUUUUGUAAACCACUACUUUCAUCUAUCAUCAAAUUAUUAGUAAGCUGCAUGUACAAAUACUACGAGUGAUUCACGCGACAACGGAUAUAAAUAGGACGAAACGCUUCUUACAGUAACACCUGCGCAGGUACAACUAGAACCUUAUCAGUACGUUCUAAAUGAAUGUGUGAAGUACA